AGCUGGUCUGAGAGGAUGGUCAGCCACACUGGGACUGAGACACGGCCCAGACUCCUACGGGAGGCAGCAGUGGGGAAUAUUUGGACAAUGGGCGCAAGCCUGACUCCAGCCAUGCCGCGUGAGUGAAGAAGGCCUUAGGGUUGUAAAGCUCUUUCACCCGUGAAGAUGAUGACGGUAGCGGGAGAAGAAGCCCCGGCUAACUCCGUGCCAGCAGCCGCGGUAAUACGGAGGGGGCGAGCGUUGUUCGGAAUUACUGGGCGUAAAGGGCGCGUAGGCGGGCUGGCCAGUCAGAGGUGAAAGUCCUGGGCUCAACCUGGGGACUGCACUCUUGAAACUGCCAGUCUAGAGUCCGGGAGAGGAUGGCGAAAUUCCCAGUGUAGAGGUGAAAUUCGUAGAUAUUGGGAAGAACACCGGUGGCGAAGGCGGCCAUCUGGACUGGCACUGACGCUGAGGCGCGAAAGCGUGGGAGCAAACAGGAUUAGAUACCCUGGUAGUCCACGCCGUAAACGAUGUGUGCUAGCCGCUGGGGUCCUUAGGGCUUCGGUGGCGCAGCUAACGCGUUAAGCACACCGCCUGGGGAGUACGGCCGCAAGGUUAAAACUCAAAUGAAUUGACGG
rnacentral:rRNA from 2 species